UCCGUGUCUGUGCGGCGUUCACGGGUCCGAAUUGAAUUUGAAAAUACCAACAAUUUGGACGUCCGAAACUCAUCAUAUCGACAUAUUAUCGAGUGACAGAUUAAGAAUCUUGAGAGCUUCUCAACUAAUCUCGGUAGCUCUGUCAACAACAUUCAACUAAAACGUGUCUGUGGGGGUUGCCUCGUAUAACCGAGUUAAUUUCUGUGGCGUGAAGAUCGAAAGAAUGCUUUUCAUGGGGGGUUUUAUUUGUGUCCUGGGGAAGAAAUCCCCCUUCACAGCGCUACUUAUCUCCCCAAUUGCAGCUUCAGCCGAUUAUCCUAUUGCUUCGUCGAGCCGCGCAUGUGUCUCAUUAUGAUGUCAUCUGACCAAGAUCGCAAUCUACUCUCUAGGAGGAAACACUGUGUGACACCAAAAUACACAAGUGUCCGACAAGCCGAUGGCGACAGGAUACUAGGGUCACAUGACCCGCCUGAAGCGCCCGAUUGACCGCGGCGAAUGACGGGGUACCUUAUUCUCAACUGUUUGCGUACAAAAAUGCGUCAUUAUCCAUGCUCAUAAUUACUGCCUACCUGUGAAUAAGGCCAACGCAGGGACCAUGUUUUUGUGAGUGAGAAGUGGGCUGUG
rnacentral:misc_RNA from 1 species